AAGUUCUCAACCACAUCGGAUUUGUUUUCGGUGUGGCUUGGAUAUGGGGGUAUUUGUUGCAGGCUUUUGAAAAAUGAAGUCAGCUCCCCUGAAAUGCAUUAGUAGUAUCUGAGCAGAAAAAACUACUAUGGGUGUGAUAAUUUAUCUAUGCCCUUGGUAUGGCUGCAUGAACAGAUUGCGCUGCUUCUAACGAGUGUGUAUAAUAACCACAUUUGACAA
rnacentral:misc_RNA from 1 species